CAGUCCUACGGCUCCGGCUCGCGGUGCGGUUCGCGAGGGCGCCCUCUCCGCUUCUGCCUCCUCGUCUGCCAAGCGCGUCUGUUGCUCUCGCUGCUGCUGCUCCGGGAGCAACGAGCCGGGACUCAGCCUCCUGAAUGAGGACCGGGAGGAGCAGUGGGACAUAAAGCAUAGUGAGAAGGAGAAUAGUGGCUGGAUUCAGACAGCCUGAGUUUGAAGCCCUGCUUUGCCACUUAAUACCUAUAUGACCUCGGGUGUCAAGAGUUUACCUGAGCUACUCACGGUGUUGCUGCCUCAGCGUCCAUUUUAUUUGCAGGACUUUCGGGGACCCUAAACUGAUGUAAGCACAUGCCCCAGAUAGAGUCACAAGCAAAUCUAAGUUCCUGAUAUGACUUCCCCAGCAGCCCUUUGAUCUACAGUCUCCCUGGCUUCCAGUGCCUGUGUGCAAUAUUGCCCCCUUAGAGAAGACCCAGUGGGGCUUAUCCAAAUCCCUACUCUUUUGGUUUAAAUUGACCAGUCUGACCCUAGCCUGGGAACCCCAAAGUACUCCAUUCAGAGACCCUAAUAAAGGCAUGUCCCAGGUCCUGACACUCUCUGCCUGCACCCUACCUUGCCUUCCCCCUGUGGCCCCUUAAGGUGUCCUGGGUACUUUCUCCAGGACCUGUGAGUAAUAAACUACUCUAUUUCAAUUUC